GACGAACGCUGGCGGCGUGCUUAACACAUGCAAGUCGAACGGAAAGGCCCUGCUUUUGUGGGGUGCUCGAGUGGCGAACGGGUGAGUAACACGUGAGUAACCUGCCCUUGACUUUGGGAUAACUUCAGGAAACUGGGGCUAAUACCGGAUAGGAGCUCCUGCUGCAUGGUGGGGGUUGGAAAGUUUCGGCGGUUGGGGAUGGAUUCGCGGCUUAUCAGCUUGUUGGUGGGGUAGUGGCUUACCAAGGCUUUGACGGGUAGCCGGCCUGAGAGGGUGACCGGCCACAUUGGGACUGAGAGACGGCCCAGACUCCUACGGGAGGCAGCAGUGGGGAAUAUUGCACAAUGGACGGAAGCCUGAUGCAGCAACGCCGCGUGCGGGAUGACGGCCUUCGGGUUGUAAACCGCUUUCGCCUGUGACGAAGCGUGAGUGACGGUAAUGGGUAAAGAAGCACCGGCUAACUACGUG
rnacentral:rRNA from 1 species